CUCUAGCCCCGAUGGGAGCGGCAUCCUGUGACUCUGGGGUUCAGAGGCACAGAUAUAGUGGACAGCGGGAACAAUG
rnacentral:sRNA from 1 species